rnacentral:tRNA from 1 species
GGGUUGCGGCUCAGUGGUAGAGCGUGUGCCUAGCAUGUGCGAGGCCCUGGGUUCGAUCCUCAGCAUCACA